rnacentral:misc_RNA from 1 species
UAGGGAUAGCAGCGGAAUUACCUGCCUUCCGCAGGCAGGCUUUUUACGCGAAGCUUAAAAAGAUUGAAGCGGAUAGCCCGGCCCCGC